GAUCACUGAACUUUGCAAAAGGUUUCCCAGGGAUCACUGAAUUCAGUGACCCCUGAGAAAAUUCAGUGACCCCUGGAAAACUUUUUGUAAAGUUCAGUGAU
rnacentral:miRNA from 1 species